CAAGUGGUUGUAUGUAUUUGUAGGUGGUUGUUGACAAGUUCUCUAGACACUCUCGUGGCUUCAGAUUUGUCUCCUUUGAUGAAAAGAAUGCAAUGGAAGAGGCCAUUGAAGCCAUGAACGGGAUUGAUUUAGAUGGCCGAACCAUUACCGUUAACAAGGCAAGGGCAAACCAGGGUUCAGGUAGAGAUUAUGACAAUGAUCGCUCACGCGAUCGUGAUCGAGGUCGUUGUCGUGAUUGUGAUCUUGAGUAUUGAAGCAGGCGAGGAUCUAGUGGUAAAGGGUGCUUUAAGUGUGGUAAACCUGGACACUUUGCUAGAGAAUGCCCUGAUGAAAGGGCUAAAAGCAGUAGAUAUGUGAACAGGGAUGAUAGAUAUGGUGGCAGAGGUGGUGGCAGUUAUGGCCUUAACUGUAAUGGAGAUUGAUUUGGAGGCCGUAACAAGGAUGCUGGUGGCCGUGGGCAAGGUGAUCGAUAUAAUCGUGAUCGCUCUGGGCCUUAUGAUCAUCGAGGAUCUAGGGAUUUCUGAUGUGGGUGGUUUGAUGUCUGACUAUAUGGUAUGCAACAAGGCAUUGACAAAUUUUUUAUUCCAAUCUCAAGUAUAUUGUUUAACUGAUGGCUUUGCAUUCAUAUAUGUGACAGCUGAAACUUUGAAGUCCUAGAACUCCUGGAUGCAUGUAUUAUGUGGUUUCGCUCUUGUUGGCAUGUUGGCAAAAUGGGUCAUUGUUGAAACUGUGAAACUAGGCACUAAUAGUUUACAUAUAUCGUGUCACUAAAAUGUUCUACUUUUUUAGUCCAUUGGGGGUCCUUUGCUUGCUUGAUGUGCGGAUUCUAAUAUGAUCUUUCACUUUUGAAUGCUAUUAUUCCAACUGGUAGCCUCCUUUCUUGCUUACACCACAAUUAACUGGUUCUGGAUUCUUAUAUUCUCGCAUUGGCCCUGUUCCUCUCAAGUGUAUGAGGAAUGAUGUUGAGAUCUUAGAAUUGGU
rnacentral:lncRNA from 1 species